GGGAUCGAAGAUGCUUAGAUACCAUCGUAGUCUUAACCGUAAACUAUGCCGACUUGCGAUUGUCCGAUGUUGUUUUGAACUGACUUGGGCAGCAGCACAUGAGAAAUCAAAGUCUUUGGGUUCCGGGGGGAGUAUGGUCGCAAGGCUGAAACUUAAAGGAAUUGACGGAAGGGCACACCAGGAGUGGAGCCUGCGGCUUAAUUUGACUCAACACGGGGAAACUUACCAGGUCCAGACAAAGUAAGGAUUGACAGAUUGAGAGCUCUUUCUUGAUUCUUUGGGUGGUGGUGCAUGGCCGUUCUUAGUUGGUGGAGUGAUUUGUCUGGUUAAUUCCGAUAACGAACGAGACCCCAACCUGCUAACUAGACUGGUCUAUUUCACGAUAGAUCAGCGCUUCUUAGAGGGACAUUUCGGAUUUACCGGAAGGAAGUUUGAG
rnacentral:rRNA from 1 species